GUUACUAGUGUGUUUAUCAAAGCUUUACUAGUGUUUAUGAGUAAAACGGUCGUGUCUAUUUCUCUAAACAUUCUGCAAAUAAUUUUAAAAACCUACAGUUUAUGCAGUUUCGUUGUGGUUGAUUGACAUCCCUGUGAAGAUAAAAUUUAGGACCAACUGUUUGCUUUUUGUGAAGAAAAAACAGUUGGUAAAAAAAUCAUAGAAACCCCCAAUAAGUCGAUUUUUAGUUGACAGAAGAAGUAUGAUUCGGUGUUGGUGUGUGUGAACUUCUGACGUUUUGAUCUCUGAAUGCUAGUUGGACAUUUUGCUAGUCUGACAUUUUGAUAUCUGAAUGCGAGUUUGACAUUUUGAUAUCUGAAUCCCUUUCUCCUCCCCUCAUCUUUUCUUCUUCUGCUCUCUGUCUGACCCCCUUCUCGUCUCCCAUUCGAACCAGGAUGUCACCAUGGGAGAAGAAGGCGUGAUGUGUUGUGCUGCUGCUUGGGAGGGACGCCAUGGGCCUCCCUCCACUGCUUCUUCUCUUCCCCUAACUCCAUCAAGGUGAUGGAUUGGUACAACGACCUACUCCCCUGCUUCCUAUGUUAAUUUGUUGUGCAAUGUGGAUGUGAUGUAUUUUAGGCAUGAUUAAAUACAUAUUUUGGUUCAACUCUGACUGAAACAACUUGUUGGUUCAGUUUCUUGUAUGAAGAACAAAUAUGACAAACACAUUUUCUUUUCCUUUUUGUUCAAGAUUCAUUUCUAAUUAUAAACCAAACUGAAAUUGGAAAUAGUUUAGAAUGAAUGAAGCAGAGAGUCCUUCCGUCUUUGGCAGCUGGCACAAUUCCUUCUCAAGGUGCUCGUGUUUGUGGAGGUGAUUGACCUCCUUUUUUCAUCUAUGUAUCAAGGUGCAGCUGUUGAGCAUUGAUAGGUGUUGUUCGGUGUACCUCGCCAUGAUUUCCAGGACAUG
rnacentral:lncRNA from 1 species